rnacentral:rRNA from 1 species
CGACGUUAAGCAAAUCCCAGAAAUAACGUCCCAGUUCGGAUUGUAGUCUGCAACCCGACUACAUGAAGCUGGAAUCGCUAGUAAUCGCGGAUCAGAAUGCCGCGGUGAAUACGUUCCCGGGUCUUGUACACACCGCCCGUCACACCAUGGGAGUCGGAAAUGCCCGAAGUCAGUGACCUAACCGAAAGGAAGGAGCUGCCGAAGGUGGAGCCGGUAACUGGGGUGAAGUCGUAACAAGGUACC